CAGUAUCGAUGCUACUAACCAGGUGGACUCGCUUGGAAAAAUGGUGAAUGACUCACCAAUAAAUUUUGCUAACUCAAUAAUGAAGAGAAUUGUUAUUUUAAGUUGUGUCCAUCUCUGCCUGUUUGCUUUAAAGUCUAUUGAUAUAGGGACAGAAAUUAGGUAUGAUUAUGGUGAUCAUGAUGAAUUGAUGCAUUGGAGAAAGCAGAAAUCAUCGUGGCAUCCUUAUACUCUAGCUCAA